rnacentral:rRNA from 1 species
UACGGAGGAGGCAAGCGUUAUCCGGAAUUAUUGGGCGUAAAGCGUCCGCAGGUGGCACCUCAAGUCUGCUGUCAAAGACCGGGGCUUAACCCCAGAAAGGCAGUGGAAACUGAAGUGCUAGAGUGCAGUAGGGGUAGAGGGAAUUCCCGGUGUAGCGGUGAAAUGCGUAGAGAUCGGGAAGAACAUCUGUGGCGAAAGCGCUCUGCUGGACUGCAACGUGACACUCAGGGACGAAAG